UUUGCAUCUUCACUUGUUCAUCCUUACUUAGUGACAGAAGACAGCGCCAGCCACCAUUGGAAAGAAAGGGUGCGAGGAGUGAGGCAGAGGAGAUAGAAGGCAGUGAAAUGCUUAGCACACAGAAGCCAGCUCUGGCCUCAGGUGAUGCAGCAGGUGCCUCGCCAUUCAUCUGACAUACCCUCCUCUUCUGAGGCCUUGGCAAUUUAGACAUGUCCUUCCCUCAGCUUUCCUCCUCUCACAAAAGUACUUGGAAGUUCAGCUCCUCACUUUGCCAGGUCAAAAAUGGCCUCUGGGUCCGGGAGACCAAGCCCAGGAGAUUUGUGACCACUCUCUUUCAUCCUCCGCCAGGACCCUGGCAGACAGCACCUAUUCACGUUACUUGAAAUGCAGCCGAAGCCUCCAGUUCCUUUCACCCUGGUCACCCAACAGCUGCCAGUCAAAUGAUGCCUCUCAGCCACCUCAGGCCUGAUUUGGAUUUGACCUACUGACCUUGAGGUGAAAGGCUCUGCAGUCCAUUAUGAAUCCCUGGGGCCAGUUCAUUCUCCCAGGAAAGCCUCUAAAUAGCCAAGGAAAUAGAGUACAUUGACUGGCCAGGUCUGGACCUGAGCCCUAACCAAGCCACACAGAUUGAAACAGCCUUCAGGACAUGGCACAAGGAGGAGGAAACCAGGUGGAGACCAGCAACUUCUUGAGUCUAGGAGAUGGAGCCAAGAUUCUGGGGAGGCCAAGGUGGCUAGAGUGCAGAACAGAGGACUCAAGAGGAUAGUCCAGAUAGUCGCAGAGUCCUGGAGAGUGUUCAGCAGCAUGCUGAUCAGGUAUGUGGAUGAGUCACCCAUUU
rnacentral:lncRNA from 10 species